UACGGAGGGGGCUAGCGUUGUUCGGAAUUACUGGGCGUAAAGCGCACGUAGGCGGCUUCUCAAGUCAGGGGUGAAAUCCUGGAGCUCAACUCCAGAACUGCCUUUGAUACUGAGGGGCUCGAGUCCGGGAGAGGUGAGUGGAACUGCGAGUGUAGAGGUGAAAUUCGUAGAUAUUCGCAAGAACACCAGUGGCGAAGGCGGCUCACUGGCCCGAUACUGACGCUGAGGCACGAAAGCGUGGGGAGCAAACAGG
rnacentral:rRNA from 1 species